UCNUCUCUUGUCAUGUCCUGUUUUCUUGAGCUUGAUGAAAAACCUGUCUAUGUCCUUUCACCUCCUGCUCUUUUGACCUUCAAAACAUUGUCAGCUCAGGAACCCGAGAGACAGUGCUCAUAUUGGAGUCU